rnacentral:rRNA from 1 species
AUGUCAGUCAGGAUGACAAGAACAUGCUUCCCGCACUCAUAUGCCAAGUACUCCGCUGUUGUGAGAGCAAUUCUUGGAGUAAUAAUACGCUCGAUGGUUGGAUCAUUUGCCUAUGAACAAAAGCAAGGGGUAAAAUCCUUAGAGCAACAGGUGAAGGAAGGAAAAAGAGAGGGAAAAAGGUAUGCAGAUGUACCAGAUUAA